AGACAGAGAGUUGUCCAGCCCCUGGGCAGCCAGACUCCAGGGGAGGAUCGCCUUCCCACUCCAUCCCCCUCUUCUGGCUCCCCAUCCAUCCUGCUGAAAGCCACCUACACCACUCAGUAAAACCUUGCAUUCAUCCUUUGAGUCCGUGUGUGACCUGAUUUUCCCCGGACGAUGGACAAGAGUUUGGGAUACAGAAAGCUGUCACAGUGGCCCUCUGCCCUUGCGAAAAGGCAGAGGGUGAGCUGAUUAAUACUCAAGCCAUCUGUGGACAGCAAAGCUGAAAGAGCUCUGUAAUACUGGGGUUGCAGGCACUCAUCCCCAGACACUACCGUGGAGCCCGAGCUCAAAGUGCUUGCCCGGCUCCUGCACCUGCCUGUCUGCAUGCUCCCACUCCCUCAAGCGGUUUGAGCAGAGGGGCGACCAAACAGUGAGACUCCUCAUAAUAGGACCUUGGAUGCUCUUCUUUUCCAGUUACUGUAAUUAUGUAACAAAUUAUCCCAAAGCUUAGUCCCUUAAAGUAACCUUUCAGUUUUGCGCAUGAUUUUGUAAAUCAUGAAUUUUGGAAAGACUGGUUAGGCAAUUCUCACCUGAGGGUUCUAAUGUGGUUGCUGUCAGAUUUCAGCUGGAACUGUAGUCAUGUGAAGGUUCAGCUGAACUGGAUGGUAAAAAGAUGACUCAUCCAUAAGGUGGCAAUUUGGUGCUGACUGUUGGCUGGCAGAUCAGCUGGAGCUGUCAACUGGAGUGCCAAUGUGUGGCUUCUUCAUGCAGUUUGACUUCUUUCUUCAGAAAUUUUGUUGAAUUCUAUUAGCUUCUGAUGACCCCUAUCCAUUGUGUGGUGGUUUUAUGUUACACUUAUUGAAUAUCCCUUUGCUAUCAUGUGUUUUAGAGUAAGUGUUUUAGGAAAGCAUAGCAUAGUUACAGAAAUGCCCAAAGAUCUGUUAAGUCACAAAAUUUUCAUGAUAUGAACACAUCCAUGUGACCAAUACCUAGAUGAAGAUGAAGAACACAACCAGCGCUGCAAAAGACUGCAAUCCUAGUGUCUCCUGUGGAACCCCUCCUCACGCUCCUCACUUCAAACAUUGUAGAUUAGUCUUGCUUGCUUUUGGAUUAAUUUUAAUGGAAUCGGUAUGUACUCUAUGUCCGGCUCCUUUUGCUGCACAUUAUGUCUGUGAGAGUCAAUAAUGUAACAUUUGUUGAUUUAUUCUCCUUGUUAUAUAAUUACAUUGUAUGAAAAUGCCAUAAUUUAAUUGCCUAUUUUACUGUUAAUGUACAUUUCUUUUAGUUUUUGGCUUUUAUCAGUAUUACCUUAUUGAUUCUAAUAGCUUAUCUGUGCAUUCUUUUAGAUAUUUUGCCUAGUCAAUUAUUUUGUAAAUAAUAACUUUCACAGUAAUUUUAGAAAGUUUUUGUGUAGGAGAAAAUAUAAAUGCAUUUAUUUAGAUUGCCUUCUUGCACCAGAAAUCUGGAAAGCAUGGUUUCACAAAUAGAUACAUUACUAAAUCUUUCUUCAGAAAUGUUCUAUCAGUGUGUCUUCCGAACAAUGCAUGAAUAGCAGCUUUGUUAUAGCUUUUCUGAUAUUUUAUACUUUUCCAUACUUUUAAUAUUUCCAAUCUCUAACCCCAAAAUAAAACCUUUUAAAAAUGUGUUAAUUAUUGAAAAAUUGCAUUUCUUUUAUAAAUCACCUUACUAUAUUCUUGAUCAUUUUUUGAGUAUCUUAUGCAUUAAGAUUGUAUUUGAUGUACAAGAAAUCUGACACACAGUGACUUAAAUAGGUGAUGGUCAAUAUUGUGACCCUACAAAGUUUUCAUGACAUUCUUAGGAUGUAGCUUUCAUUUCAUAGUAGUCCCCUUGGUGUAAGAAGGCUAUUCUUCCUCCAGCAGCAGGAAAGAGCUAGGAUAAAGGCUCAUGCCACUUGUGUCUCCUCCAAUUUAAGGUUUUCCCUGAAGCUUUGUCCUGUGACUUCUGCUUCUAUAUGACUGUCCAGAACUAGGUCAUGUAGUGCCUCCUGGCUGCUGUGGAGUAGGGAAUGUAACUAGAGAUGGUGUAAUUGCCACUUCAAACAAGAUCAAGCUUCUGUUUGUAAAAAAAAAAAAAAAAAA
rnacentral:lncRNA from 1 species